AUUGAACGCUGGCGGCAGGCCUAACACAUGCAAGUCGAACGAGUGGCGGACGGGUGAGGAAUGUCUGGGAAACUGCCCGAUGGCGGGGGAUAACUACUGGAAACGGUAGCUAAUACCGCAUACCAUCAGAUGUGCCCAGGUGGGAUUAGCUAGUAGGUGGGGUAACGGCUCACCUAGGCGGCGAUCCCUAGCUGGUCUGAGAGGAUGACCGGCAACACUGGAACGGAGCAACGGUCCAGACUCCUAGGGGAGGCAGCAGUGGGGAAUAUUGCACAAUGGGCGCAAGCCGGAUGCAGCAAUGCCGCGUGUAUGAAGAAGGCCUUCGGGUGGUAAAGUACGUUCAGCGAGGAGGCGUUACUCGAAGAAGAAGCACCGGCUAACUCCGUGCCAACCGCCGCGGUAAUAC
rnacentral:rRNA from 1 species